rnacentral:rRNA from 1 species
AGGAUUAACGCUGGCGGCGUGCAUGAAACAUGCAAGUCGAGCGCGGUACGUGGCUUCGGUCACGUAUCUAGCGGCGCACGGGUGAGUAACACGUGAGCAACCUACCUUCGAGUUCGGGAUAGCCCUGGGAAACCAGGAUUAAUACCGGAUGUGGUCACAACGGGACAUCCCGAUGUGAAAAAAGGCGCAAGCCGCUCGAUGACGGGCUCGCGGCCUAUUAGCUUGUUGGUGGGUAACGGCCUACCAAGGCGACGAUGGGUAGCUGGUCUGAGAGGACGAUCAGCCACACUGGGACUGAGACACGGCCCAGACUCCUACGGGAGGCAGCAGUUAGGAAUUUUCCGCAAUGGGCGAAAGCCUGACGGAGCAACGCCGCGUGUGUGAUGAAGGCCUUCGGGUUGUAAGCACUGUCGGAGGGAAGAAUGAAUGACGGUACCCUCCAAGAAGCCCGGCUAACUACGUGCCAGCAGCCGC